UGAAGAUGAUUUAAAUAAAUAUUUUUAUAUGUGUUGUCUCUCUUUUGUCUCCACCAUGUUGUGAAUGAAGGAUAACAGGAAAACUAGUGUGGGGGAGACACCAGAUGGUCAAAACGAACAAAUUCUCACAAAAAAGUUAACAAAAAUAGAGAGGACAUGACAUGAAGACCAUGCUCAACGAAGCUGACCCCAAAGGACCACUGGCCAGGGACAGCCACCCCUAUCAUCCUUGGGCGCCUGCCCAGGGGGAAGCCCCCUGAUCUCCGCUUUGAACCAUGGUCAGGUAUGAUUUCUCUAAAUUAUAAAUUUUUAUUUUUGUUGCUGUUUCGAUUUGGAAUAAAAUAUCUUUAGUUAAAUCACCCUGUGCAUAAACAUUUAAAAGAUGUUUUAUUCAUGACCACAAGAUAGACUUAUACCAUGAUACUUCCUAGAAAUUCCUAUUGUUGUUGGGAACUUUAAUAUAGGGACCCCAUAUUACUUAAGGUGUUGUGGAAAGAGAGAUAGUAUGAAUAUGUGAACUUGAUUUCUGAAGCCUAGUCAUUUGGAGAAUUUUAAUUUUCAAAAUCUUAAAAUGAUUAGCUAUACUUCUCCUCUGUAGCAAGAAUUAAUGUCCUACUAGAGCCAUGCAUGAUAGAUAUAAACUAGCUCAUAGGCUACUUGCUUUGUAUUGAGUUUUCUCAAACCUUAUUGACCUAUGUCGAGAGGAUUAUCAUUCUCCUAAGAUCAAGAUCACAUACACCCAGAUAUAUCUAUCAUUCCUACACUGGGAAUGCGCACAAACCUGCCUUUCCAUCCACAAAAUGUUUCACUCCUACACAAGGAGAAAACACAAAAUGAGUCUUGGUAGGAAUAAUUGCCUAAGUUCUUUAAAAAGUCUUUUUUGGUUACAUAAGGAGGUAUAAGGCUAUGCAAAAUAAAAGUAUUGAAAAAGAAAAAAAGAGAAAGAGAAAAAGGACAACUGUACUAGAAAGAAAGAAGAAUAAAUGAUAGCCCAUACCAUCCUUUACAAAGACCAUCGGUGAUUCAGAGAAAGAAAGACAUUUUUGAAAAGAGAAAUGUAGAAUUAGGAUUAGGCACUAUAUAUUCCACACACAUGCACUUCUUGAUCUAACAGUAUGUUAUUCCCCUCCAUGGAUCUAAGUUUUCACUUAGCAAGAUAUGCAAGGUAAGUGUGCUAUUUCCUUGAACUACCUUUAACUCUAUAUAAGCCUGUAUAGAGUAGAAUACAUAUGAUACAUAUAUCAUUCAUGCCUUGGUGAGUUCAAUAAAUACCACAUAUAAUGAGUGAUCCGAGUGUGCUACACGAUGGAGAAGGGUAAGCUAAGUUUUUCUUUGCAAAAAUUUUAUAAAACUCCAAGUGAUAGGGCUGAAGGAAAAGAACUCUAUUUUGUACUGUUCCAUCCUCAACUUUGAAUCCCACAGUACAGGUAUGACUUGGAAUAAAUAUAGUGAUGUCUUGGUUUGAGGUUAUGAUUAAAAUAGUUUAUCUAUCCUUUUUCCUCGAAGACAAGUAAAAUAUAAGUGUGGGGG
rnacentral:lncRNA from 1 species